UUGUACUGAUUGAGAUUUUAACACGAAGUGAGUGGCGAACGGGUGAGUAACACGUGGGUAACCUGCCCAGAAGUAGGGGAUAACACCUGGAAACAGAUGCUAAUACCGUAUAACAGAGAAAACCGCAUGGUUUUCUUUUAAAAGAUGGCUCUGCUAUCACUUCUGGAUGGACCCGCGGCGUAUUAGCUAGUUGGUGAGGUAAAGGCUCACCAAGGCAGUGAUACGUAGCCGACCUGAGAGGGUAAUCGGCCACAUUGGGACUGAGACACGGCCCAGACUCCUACGGGAGGCAGCAGUAGGGAAUCUUCCACAAUGGACGCAAGUCUGAUGGAGCAACGCCGCGUGAGUGAAGAAGGGUUUCGGCUCGUAAAGCUCUGUUGUUAAAGAAGAACGUGGGUAAGAGUAACUGUUUACCCAGUGACGGUAUUUAACCAGAAAGCCACGGCUAACUACGUGCCAGCAGCCGCGGUAAUACGUAGGUGGCAAGCGUUAUCCGGAUUUAUUGGGCGUAAAGCGAGCGCAGGCGGUCUUUUAAGUCUAAUGUGAAAGCCUUCGGCUCAACCGAAGAAGUGCAUUGGAAACUGGGAGACUUGAGUGCAGAAGAGGACAGUGGAACUCCAUGUGUAGCGGUGAAAUGCGUAGAUAUAUGGAAGAACACCAGUGGCGAAGGCGGCUGUCUGGUCUGCAACUGACGCUGAGGCUCGAAAGCAUGGGUAGCGAACAGGAUUAGAUACCCUGGUAGUCCAUGCCGUAAACGAUGAUUACUAAGUGUUGGAGGGUUUCCGCCCUUCAGUGCUGCAGCUAACGCAUUAAGUAAUCCGCCUGGGGAGUACGACCGCAAGGUUGAAACUCAAAAGAAUUGACGGGGGCCCGCACAAGCGGUGGAGCAUGUGGUUUAAUUCGAAGCUACGCGAAGAACCUUACCAGGUCUUGACAUCUUCUGACAGUCUAAGAGAUUAGAGGUUCCCUUCGGGGACAGAAUGACAGGUGGUGCAUGGUUGUCGUCAGCUCGUGUCGUGAGAUGUUGGGUUAAGUCCCGCAACGAGCGCAACCCUUAUUACUAGUUGCCAGCAUUAAGUUGGGCACUCUAGUGAGACUGCCGGUGACAAACCGGAGGAAGGUGGGGACGACGUCAAAUCAUCAUGCCCCUUAUGACCUGGGCUACACACGUGCUACAAUGGAUGGUACAACGAGUCGCGAAACCGCGAGGUUAAGCUAAUCUCUUAAAACCAUUCUCAGUUCGGACUGUAGGCUGCAACUCGCCUACACGAAGUCGGAAUCGCUAGUAAUCGCGGAUCAGCAUGCCGCGGUGAAUACGUUCCCGGGCCUUGUACACACCGCCCGUCACACCAUGAGAGUU
rnacentral:rRNA from 1 species